rnacentral:rRNA from 1 species
UACGUAGGGUGCAAGCGUUAAUCGGAAUUACUGGGCGUAAAGCGUGCGCAGGCGGUAAUGUAAGUCAGGUGUGAAAUCCCCGGGCUUAACCUGGGAACUGCAUUUGUGACUGCAUUGCUGGAGUGCGGCAGAGGGGGAUGGAAUUCCGCGUGUAGCAGUGAAAUGCGUAGAUAUGCGGAGGAACACCGAUGGCGAAGGCAAUCCCCUGGGCCUGCACUGACGCUCAUGCACGAAAGCGUGGGGAGCAAACAGG